UGUAUAUAGAUAUUAAAAGAUUAUUAGGAAAUUCUUGAUAAGAUUAAUUUUAAAUUUUCAGUAUAUUUAUUUAUACAAUGAAUUUAGGUUUUAUAUAGAUAUUAUAAGUUAUAAUUGGAUAAAUUUGUGCCAGCAUCCGCGGUUAUACAAAUAAUUAAAAUUAAAUUUUUAUCGGUUUAAAAAAAGGUUAUUAGUAUUUUAUAUGAAGAAAUAUAUAUUAUAAAUUUUAAGGUAAAAUUUUUAAUUUGUUUGUUUUUCUUAUGUUUCUUUUUUAGUUCUUUGAAAUUUUAAUUAUAGACUAGGAUUAGAUACCCUAUUAUUUUAAGUAAUAAAAAUUUUUUUACCUAAGUAUUACGAGACUAUAAAUAUAGGUCUUAAAACUUAAAAGGUUUGGCGGUUUUACAAAUCCUUUUAGGGGAGCUUGUUAAUUAGUUUGAUAAUCCUCAUUUUAAACUUACUUUUUCUUGAAAUAGAUUAUUAUAAAACUACAGUUUGUAUAUUGCUGUCAUCAGUUUAUUCUUUGAGGGUAAAAGAACUUAUAAAUUUUAAUGUUUAUAUGUCAAGUCAUAAUGCAGUUUAUGGAGAAGGUUUAAUGAGCUACUUUUAUUAAUUUUUAUAAAAUCAGAUGAUAAAAUUUAAUUUUAUUAAAAAGAUGGACUUAAUAGUAAAUUAUAAUUAGUAUGUAUAAUUGAAUAUUGGUUUUGUAAAGUGUACAUAUCGCCCGUCACUCUUGUUGUUAAAUAAGAUAAGUCGUAACAUAGUAGAGGUAAUGGAAAUUGCUUCUGGAAUAAA
rnacentral:ncRNA from 1 species